rnacentral:lncRNA from 13 species
GAAGACGGGAAAAUACUUUGGCCCAUCUCUGAAGGUUUAGAGUAAUAUUAAAAUGGACUACACAAAGAAAUAAAAUGCAUAUAGGGACUAAAAAAAUACCUAUUAUUUUAUAUACAACACAAUACAUUGCUUAAAUUCUCUAUUGCAGUGGAAGAAAAUAAAAAACAGUAGACAAGCCAAAAUAAUUUACAUAAAACACAAUGAAAAGUGGCUGAGAAGAGGACAAUUUAGGAAAAUGAUCUCUCCAGGAAUGCUGCCAAGAGGAUGAAUCACUUCAAUUGAAUCUUAAAGAAAGAGUGUGACGCUACUAAGUGGACAAAGAGUG